rnacentral:lncRNA from 1 species
GACCCGUCUGAAAAAAAAUUGGUGCGACACGAGGACUUCCCAGGAGGUCACCCAUCCGAGUACUACUCUCGCCCAAGCACACUUAACUGUAGAGUUCUGAUGGGAUCCAGUGCAUUAGUGCUGGUAUGAUGCCAUUUGUUUAAUUUUGCGCUUCAAAUACAUACACUCCUUCUCUUUUCUUCCUCAUCCUGUCAUUUGUUUCCUUGUGCGUGCGCACUGCACCUCCCGUACUCGUUCUAAUAUCAAGUAAAAUGCCACGAUGAUCGCACCCGUUUAAUUCAACGCUGCAAAUAGAUAAACUCCUUCUCCUUUCUUCCCCCUCCCGUCAUUUGUUUCCUUGUGCGUGCGCACUGCACCUCUUGUUCUCGUUCAAAUAUCAAGUAAAAUGCCACGGUGCGGUGACUCUCGUUUGCGAAUAAAUCUGCGGACCAUAAUUAAAGUCGCGCGUAACGUCGAACGGCACAUCUGAAAAAAAGAAGAUGGGUGCAACACGAGGACUUCACAAGAAAAUGGGUGAAAUAUAAGGACUUCGCAGGAGGUAACCCAUGCUAGUACUACUCUCGCCCAAGCACCCUUACCUACGGAGUUCUGAUAGAAUCCGUUGCAUUAGUGCUGGUAUGAUCGCACCUGUUUCAUUUCGUGCUGAAAAUACAUACACUCCUUCUCCUUCCCUCCCCCUCCCAUCAAUUGUUUCCUUGUGUGUUCACACUGCACCUCUCCUUCUCGUUCUAAUAUCGAUUAAAAUGCCCCUGCUUCUUGACUCACAAUUGCGUAUAAACUAGCGGACCCCAUUUCCAGUCGCGCGUAACGUCGAACGACCCGUCUAAAAAAAAAAUUGGUGCGACACGAGGACUUCCCAGGAGGACAUCCAUCCGAGUACUAAUCUCACCCAAGCACACUUAACUGCAGAGUUCUGAUGGGAUCCGGGGCUUUAGUGCUGGUAUGAUCGCACCUGUUUAGUUUCGCGCUACAAAUACAUACACUCCUUCUCCUUUCUUCCCCCUCCCGUCAUUUGUUUCCUUGUGCGUUAAGACUUCACCUCUCAUUCUCGUUCUAAUAUCGAUUAAAAUGCCCCUGCUUCUUGACUCACAUUUGCGUAUAAACUAGCGGACCCUAGUUCCAGACGCGCGUAACGUCGAACGACCCGUCUGGAAAAAAAUUGGUGCGACACGAGGACUUCCUAGGAGGUCACCCAUCCGAGUGCUAAUCUCGCCCAAUCACACUUCACUGCGGAGUUCUGAUGGGAUCCGGUGCAUUAGUGCUGGUAUGAUCGCACCUCUUUAAUUUUGCGCCGCAAAUACAUAAACUCAUUCUCCUUUCUUCCCCCUCCCGUCAUUUGUUUCCUUGUGCGUGCGCACUGCAUCUCCCGUGCUCGUUCUAAUAUCAAGUAAAAUGCUACGGUGCCGUGACUCACAUUUGUGAAUAAACUUGAGGACCAUAAUUAAAGUCGCGUGUAUCGUCGAAAGAAUCAUCUGCAAAAAAAUGGGUGCAACACGAGGACUUCCUAAGAAAAUGGGUGAAAUAUAAGGACUUCGCAGAAGGUAACCCAUGCUAGAACGACUCUCGCCCAAGCACCCUUACCUACGGAGUUCUAAUAGAAUCCGUUGCAUUAGUGAUGGUAUGAUCGCACCUGUUUCAUUUCGUGCUGAAAAUACAUACACUCCUUCUCCUUCCCUCCCCCUCCCAUCAAUUGUUUCUUUGUGCGUUCACACUGCACCUCUGCUUCUCGUUCUAAUAUCGAUUAAAAUGCCCCUACUUCUUGAUCACAUUUGCGUAUAAACCAGCGGAUCUUCGUUCCAGUCGCGCGUAACGUCGAACGACCCGUCUGAAAAAAAAUUGGUGCGACACGAGGACUUCCCAGGAGGUCACCCAUCCGAGUACUACUCUCGCCCAAGCACACUUAACUGUAGAGUUCUGAUGGGAUCCAGUGCAUUAGUGCUGGUAUGAUGCCAUUUGUUUAAUUUUGCGCUUCAAAUACAUACACUCCUUCUCUUUUCUUCCUCAUCCCGUCAUUUGUUUCCUUGUGCGUGCGCAUUGCACCUCCCGUACUCGUUCUAAUAUCAAGUAAAAUGCCACGGCGCCAUGACUCACAUUUGCGAAUAAUCCUGCGGACCAUAAAUCAAGUCGCGCGUAACGUCGAAAGAAUCAUCUGAAAAAAGAUGGGUGCAACACGAGGACCUCCCAAGAAAAUGGGUGAAAUAUAAGGACUUCGCAGGAGGUCACCCAUCCGAGUACUUUUCUCUCCCAAGCACCCUUAACUGCGGAGUUCUGAUAGAAUCCGUUGCAUUAGUGCUGG